GGCCAACCCACAACCUGCGCCUUUGGAGCAGGUGGCUUCUCAGGGUUUUUGCUAGAAGUGAGUAUACUCUGGCUCGCCGGCCACUUCAGCUUGUCGAAGGCCACCGUCUCCACUCCAGCAUCCUUGGACUCUGCAGUGUUAAGCUUGAGCUUCAAGUCAAUUGUCUCCAUGAAUCCCCUCUUCCCAUUGCUAUUCACCACCUCACCACCACCCGGCAGACCCAACCUCAGCUCCGUCUCCUCGAAACCUAGCUCAUCCCUGUCCGCCGCCACUACACAAGCCAUUGACAGAAAUCCAACUUACCCUCAACAAGAAUUUUCAGUUCUUCAAUCGAAACAACUCUAUCCUCUUCUUCUUCUUUCUCUUCUCCCCCUUUCAUUCUCUUUUAUAGCCGUUGGAACUUGGAGCUAUCCGCUCUCUCUCUCUCUCUCUCU
rnacentral:misc_RNA from 1 species